GACGAACGCUGGCGGCGUGCCUAAUACAUGCAAGUAGAACGCUGAAGGAAGGAGCUUGCUCUUUCCGGAUGAGUUGCGAACGGGUGAGUAACGCGUAGGUAACCUGCCUGGUAGCGGGGGAUAACUAUUGGAAACGAUAGCUAAUACCGCAUAACAGUGGAUAUCGCAUGAUAUUUGCUUGAAAGGUGCAAUUGCACCACUACCAGAUGGACCUGCGUUGUAUUAGCUAGUUGGUGAGGUAACGGCUCACCAAGGCAACGAUACAUAGCCGACCUGAGAGGGUGAUCGGCCACACUGGGACUGAGACACGGCCCAGACUCCUACGGGAGGCAGCAGUAGGGAAUCUUCGGCAAUGGACGGAAGUCUGACCGAGCAACGCCGCGUGAGUGAAGAAGGUUUUCGGAUCGUAAAGCUCUGUUGUAAGAGAAGAACGAGUGUGAGAGUGGAAAGUUCACACUGUGACGGUAUCUUCC
rnacentral:rRNA from 1 species